rnacentral:rRNA from 1 species
UACAGAGGGCGCAAGCGUUAAUCGGAAUUACUGGGCGUAAAGCGUGCGUAGGUGGUUUGUUAAGUCAGGCGUGAAAUCCUGGGGCUCAACCUCAGAAUUGCGCUUGAUACUGACAGACUCGAGUGUGGUAGAGGAUAGUGGAAGUCCCGGUGUAGCGGUGAAAUGCGUAGAUAUCGGGAGGAACAUCAGUGGCGAAGGUGGCUAUCGGGACCAACACUGACACUGAGGUACGAAAGCGUGGGUAGCAAACAGG